rnacentral:rRNA from 1 species
CGCGAAUGGCUCAUUACAACAGCUAUAAUUUACUUGAUCUUGACAAUCCUACUUGGAUAACUGUGGUAAUUCUAGAGCUAAUACAUGCACCAAAGCCCCGAUCUUGCAGAAGGGAAGAGUGCAUUUAUUAUUUGAAAACCAAGCGGCUUCGGUCGUUUUUUGUUGACUCAGAAUAACUAAGCUGAUCGCAUGGUCUUGUACCGGCGACGUGUCUUUCAAGUAUCUGCCUUAUCAACUUUCGAUGGUAGUGUAUUUGACUACCAUGGUGGUGACGGGUAACGGAGGAUAAGGGUUCGACUCCGGAGAAGGGGCCUGAGAAAUGGCCACUACGUCUAAGGAUGGCAGCAGGCGCGCAAAUUACCCACUCUCAACGCGAGGUGGUAGUGACGAAAAAUAACGAGACCGUUCUCUACGAGGCCGGUCAUCGGAAUGGGUACAAUUUAAACCCUUUAACGAGUAUCUAUGAGAGGGCAAGUCUGGUGCCAGCAGCCGCGGUAAUUCCAGCU